CAUAGCAGUCAUGCAGGCAAAACCGCAUGAAAAAUGUAAAGCGUUAUGUGGAUCGAACAUUAGUAGAGAAGCGUGUGAGCCAGCUGCCAAGAAAAGCCGCUAUUGUUUCAUAAGUACCCGUACCGUAAACCGACACAGGUGGAUGAGGAGAGAAUCCUAAGGCCGGCGGGAGAAGUGUUGUUAAGGAACUCGGCAAAAUGACUCCGUAACUUCGGGAGAAGGAGUGCCACAGAGAUGUGGCCGCAGAGAAAUGGCCCAAGCAACUGUUUAGCAAAACACAGGUCUAUGCAAAACCGAAAGGUGAGGUAUAUGGGCUGACGCCUGCCCGGUGCUGGAAGGUUAAGAGGAGAGGUUAGAGCAAUCGAAGCUUUGAAUUUAAGCCCCAGUAAACGGCGGCCGUAACGAUAACGGUCCUAAGGUAGCGAAAUUCCUUGUCGGGUAAGUUCCGACCCGCACGAAAGGCGUAAUGAUUUGGGCACUGUCUCAACAACACACCCGGUGAAAUUGAAAUACCAGUGAAGAUGCUGGUUACCUGCGCCAGGACGGAAAGACCCCAUGGAGCUUUACUCCAGUUUGAUACUGGGAUUCGGUACUGUCUGUACAGGAUAGGUGGGAGGCUAGGAAACGGUGACGCCAGUUGCCAUGGAGCCAACCUUGGGAUACCACCCUUACAGUACUGGGUUUCUAACCUGCAGCCGUAACCCGGCUGGGGGACAAUGUCUGACGGGGAGUUUGACUGGGGCGGUCGCCUCCGAAAGAGUAUCGGAGGCGCUCAAAGGUUCCCUCAGAACGGUUGGAAACCGUUCGAAGAGUGCAAAGGCAGAAGGGAGCUUGACUGCGACACCGACGGGUGGAGCAGAUACGAAAGUAGGACUUAGUGAUCCGGUGGUAUAAAGUGGGAUUGCCAUCGCUCAACGGAUAAAAGCUACCUGGGAUAACAGGCUUAUCACUCCCAAGAGUUCACAUCGACGGAGUGGUUUGGCACCUCGAUGUCGGCUCAUCGCAUCCUGGAGCUGUAGCAGGUUCCAAGGGUUGGGCUGUUCGCCCAUUAAAGCGGUACGCGAGCUGGGUUCAGAACGUCGUGAGACAGUUCGGUCCCUAUCCGGCGUGGGCGUAGGAUAUUUGAGAGGAGCUGUCCUUAGUACGAGAGGACCGGGAUGGACAAACCUCUGGUGUAUCUGUUGUUUUACCAAAGGCAUGGCAGAGUAGCCAAGUUUGGCAGGGAUAAACGCUGAAGGCAUCUAAGCGUGAAGCCCCCCUCAAGAUAAGAUAUCCCAUCUUCGGAGUAAGACCCCUUGAAGACUACAAGGUUGAUAGGCUUCAGGUGUAAGUGUGGUAACGCACUCAGCUGAGAAGUACUAAUAGGUCGAGGACUUACCAA
rnacentral:rRNA from 1 species